rnacentral:misc_RNA from 1 species
AUAUAUAUAUAUAUAUAUAUCGACUCUUGGAGAAAAUGAUCUGGGAAUUGACCCAUGUUAAGUAUUACAGAAAGAAAAAGUUAGGCAGAGAAGACAAGAGGGAAAAAGCAGAAAGUUGUUAGUUAAAACAAACUUUAUGUGCUUGCAGCAGGUGUUAUGAUUGUUGGAAUAUACCUUUAAGGUUGUUAUGUACAGAGAGGUUAUAUGUAUCAAGCCUAUUGCACUAAAGGCUUUCAUGAAUGGUUAUCAAAAUUCAAAUUCUCUCUCUGUCAUUCUCCCUCUCUGUGUGUUCUCUUUCUUCUCUAUUCUAUACUCUAUUUUCUUCCUCAAACUCUCUCAGUUUCCCCGAAACAGAGUUAGGGCUGUGAAAAACUCUUAGCAGUCAUAACAAUCCAUGACACCAAACUAUAAUCAACUCUAGAUGUUCCUAUGGAGCCAAACCUACUUGGUACACCGGGACUGAAAACACAUGCUAUGAGAAUAGAUUCUAUCAUGCAUUAUAGACAAUUGGAGCUCCUCUAGUUCAACAAUUUAUCACCCAGUUCUUUUUAAAUUAUCUACCAUCUAUACAAUCGAUAUAUCUCGAAAUAUUAAGCUCAUGCUAUUGAAAUGCAACUUUGCAUGCAAAAUGAAGUGAACUCCUGUUGGAUUCUCAGAUUACCAAACCCUAUGGACCCAAUUUUCAAGGUUCCACAAUUAUACAAAAUAUGUUGAAGUCCAAACUUACAAUUAACAACCUCCAAGUGAACAUGUAAUCCCAUGUUUAUAAGAAAAACUUUGCGCAUAAAUAAAAAUGGUUACUUUUAGAAAUCUUCUGAAUUAGAACAUACCUUUGGAGGCUUGAAUGGAUA